rnacentral:rRNA from 1 species
UACAGAGGUCCCAAGCGUUGUUCGGAUUCACUGGGCGUAAAGGGUGCGUAGGUGGUUGGGUAAGUCUGACGUGAAAUCUCCGAGCCUAACUCGGAAACUGCGUUGGAUACUAUCCAGCUUGAGGAGUGGAGGGGAGACUGGAAUACUUGGUGUAGCAGUGAAAUGCGUAGAUAUCAAGUGGAACACCAGUGGCGAAGGCGAGUCUCUAGACACUUCCUGACACUGAGGCACGAAAGCCAGGGGAGCAAACGGG